rnacentral:rRNA from 1 species
GCAUACGGCCAUGCCACCCUGAACAUGCCCGAUCUCGUCUGAUCUUGGAAGCUAAGCAGGGUCGGGCCUGGUUAGUACUUGGAUGGGAGACUACCUAGGAAGACCGAGUGUUGUAGGCA